rnacentral:misc_RNA from 1 species
UUACAAAGCAUCCAAUCAAGGAGCAUGCCUUGUCUUCUUACAUAUAUAAACUACAAAGGUACACAUCAUACUUCCCAAGGAACGGUUCAUGAUAUGAAAAUAAACCUCUCAUGCCAAUAAAUGCCAAAGAUUAUUCUAACUAGUUCAUUAUUCUAAGUAGUUCAUCUCUAAUUUAACACAUUAUCUGAAAAUUUAGAAAGUAACAAGAAAUAAAAUGCAGCAAACUAAAAUCAAAAGG